GAUGAACGCUGGCGGCGUGCCUAAUACAUGCAAGUCGAGCGAACGGACGAGAAGCUUGCUUCUCUGACGUUAGCGGCGGACGGGUGAGUAACACGUGGAUAACCUACCCAUAAGACUGGGAUAACUUCGGGAAACCGGAGCUAAUACCGGAUAAUAUUUUGAACCGCAUGGUUCAAAAGUGAAAGACGUCUUGCUUUCACUUAUAGAUGGAUCCGCGCUGCAUUAGCUAGUUGGUAAGGUAACGGCUUACCAAGGCAACGAUGCAUAGCCGACCUGAGAGGGUGAUCGGCCACACUGGAACUGAGACACGGUCCAGACUCCUACGGGAGGCAGCAGUAGGGAAUCUUCCGCAAUGGGCGAAAGCCUGACGGAGCAACGCCGCGUGAGUGAUGAAGGUCUUCGGAUCGUAAAACUCUGUUAUUAGGGAAGAACAUAUGUGUAAGUAACUGUGCACAUCUUGACGGUACCUAAUCAGAAAGCCACGGCUAACUACGUG
rnacentral:rRNA from 1 species